AAACUCAAAGGAAUUGACGGGGGCCCGCACAAGCGGAGGAGCAUGUGGUUUAAUUCGAUGAUACGCGAGGAACCUUACCUAGACUUGAACGUAUUUGGAAUGGAGUAGAAAUAUUUCAGUCAGCAAUGACCAUUUACGAGGUGCUGCAUGGUCGUCGUCAGCUCGUGCCGUGAGGUGUUAGGUUAAGUCCUGCAACGAGCGCAACCCUUACCGUUAGUUACCAUCAGGUGAUGCUGGGGACUCUAGCGGAACUGCCGGCGCAAGCCGUGAGGAAGGUGGGGAUGACGUCAAAUCAGCACGGCCCUUACGUCUAGGGCGACACACGUGCUACAGUGGACGGUACAGAGGGCAGCUACCCAGCGAUGGGAUGCUAAUCUCAAAAGCCGUUCUCAGUUCGGAUUGGAGUCUGCAACCCGACUCCAUGAAGUUGGAUUCGCUAGUAAUCGCGCAUCAGCCAUGGCGCGGUGAAUACGUUCCCGGGCCUUGUACACACCGCCCGUC
rnacentral:rRNA from 1 species